AGUCGCCGUCCAGACUCGUACUUCAUUCAGUGUCUGUGAAGGCGACUUGUUUAUAAACUGAAUUUUUCUUGUUGAUGGAUUUGCCAAAAUAAAUAAGUGAACGGUAUUUGUACGGAAGAAUACCCUGCGUUGAACUUAAUAAUUAAAAGGGUAUUCAAAUUCGUUGAAUCUCAAUGGUAAUAGCUGUUGCCACCGUUGGGAGUGACCCAAAUCUGCAAGCAGUGAUUGGAAGACUCCCAGGAAUAUCAUAAUCGGCAAACAGCGAGAGAGCAGCCAAGCGGCAAGACAAGUCAAGUCGUGCAUCUCAUUGAGGCAGGGCUUCUCGGACAAAUCGCACUCAAGCUGAACUCCACUCUACAGUUCAGCAUCGAAGUGGAAGUUAAGUUUUUCGACUGUGGGCGAACCAAAAAGAAGCCAAUGUCUGCAAUUGACCCCAACGAAAGCGUAUUUGCGAACGGGUAUUCAAAGCGUUUUGGUACACGCUCCAUUUCCAAACGAUAUUUGAACAUAUUUUGAAAACAUUCAUCAUUAUCGAGUCGUUGUUGUUAUUGUUGUUGUUGUUGCUUUGCUUGAGUGACGGGCGGAGCGUCAAUUUAAUGAAGCGCGGCAAUUCUUUUUGGAAGUGAAAAAACGACCGAUAAUUAUUGAAUAAUGUUUCUUACAACAUCAUCCAUUAGCCACGUUCCCCCCACUUUCACACUCUCUCUCUCUCUCUUUCCCUCAAAUGUGCACACAUGACUUUGACUUGCUUUGUUAUCGCUGCAGAUGCCACAAAUGUAUGUUCCAGUGAUAAAAUUCAACAAGAAAGCGCGCAACAAAAGACAUCUAUUAAAUUAUAGCAGUACCCACAGGCACACACACACACACAUACAGUUGCACUCUCAUACACAAUGAAGUUGACCUCACAAUAGACCCAGAGCUCAAGAGUGCAGGCGACCUACCGACUAUACUACCGAAUCGGAAUCGUAGCCGCAGCCGAAGCCGAAGCCAACAUGUUGCACAGAUAGCGCGGACAAAGUUCAAGUGAGAAGCGGACAUACGAAUACCAUAAUAAUCAUAUUCAUAAUCAUAAUAUAAUCAGUUAACAUACUGAUACAUGCCAGGGAGGAAAAGGAAGAGGCAGGGCUGCUGAGGGGCGGCGUUGUGGAAUGCCACGGCAAUUGAGCGCAGAAUAACAAAUAACAAUAUAAAUGGCGACAGUUGCAACUAACACAACAAUAACAAAAUACAUCAACAAUGCAACAAAGUUGAGAGCAUGCAACUGCAGCAUACCCUGCAACAGACUCGAUCACAUGA